rnacentral:lncRNA from 10 species
AGACCCCUUGAACCUGAACAGUCAGUCCAUGCUGCAGAUUCCUGCAGCCUUCCCUGCCCAGUGACGUCACCAGCACGCCUGGGACUGUGCCCUUCAUUUUCAGCCCUUGUUAUCCUGAGCUAUGGUGUGUGGCUUUUAUUGCUGUUUGUCAUUGUCACCUGUCUUGAAAACAGAGUUCAUGUCUUAUAGUUCUGCCUCAGCUCAGGACGGCUCUGCACAUGACUUAGGCAGCAUCCGCCCACACAGUCAGCCCAUGCAGCCUUGGGCUGGUGCUAGGGGCUCUGAGAGGCUCACCCCAGUCCCAGCUGGUGGUCUCUGUGGAUUCCCCAGCCAGAUCAGGCAGAAGUGUUUGUGGUUUGCCCUCCCUGUCUGCCCCCAGCCAGAAUUCCAACCUGGCCAGUUCUAAAAGCUGAACCGUGAAGACUCAGCCCUGCCUGGAGCAGCCUUCCCUGGAGCCUGGCUGACUGCACCCACCAGCCGUCAGCUCUGGCCUAGAAACUUAGGGGUCCUGGAGACAGCAGGUCCUGCUACCUCCCUGUCCUCCAUUCAGCCUAAAUGUCCACCUCCUCAGGGGCCUGCCUUCAGCUCACCUGCAGACCAUAGAAGUCUCCCUGCUGUGCACUCAUCCCCUGCGCUUUGGCACUCCCUACUCCGCCCCAGGUGUUCUGCAACAUCGGUAGCAUGACAGAGGGCUUCUUAGAGAGAGGGCGCCCUUGCUACCAGGGUCCACAGGCUCAGUCUCAGCCUGGUUCCUGUUUGUGGUGCCCCUUUCUCAGGCCUGUGGGGAUGUCAGGAGCUUAGGACAGCGCCGGGCUCAAGAGAUGUGGCUACCUUCCCUCCUGCUUUCGGUACUCAGCGCAGGCAGGGUUCAGUGCAGCAAGUAACAGCUGUGGCUUACUGGAUUGUCUGCAACCAUUGGCGACUGAGAGAUCCCUGCAGCCCUCCCAGACCCUCGAUCUGACUGGAGCCAGGCCCACGUGGGGAAAGGGUUAAACGUUGGCAGUGACUUCACCCCUGCAUUGGAGCAGGCGGAGGCAGAGUAGGUAAAAAAAUCAGGACAGAGGCUGGUUGGAAUUUUCCAGCGUUCAUAAACAGGACCAGUCAGGGUUGCUAAGGGAGGUCACCAUGGAAACGGUCACGUGCGCCUGCCUCCUGGUUAUUCCACCCUGGUCAGGAGGAUGAUGCAAGCUCCGAGCCUCUUCAUUGGCUGCCACCUUCCUCUUGCCACCGAAAUCUGGUGGGAGAUUGGCUGAGGACAGUUGCUGGGCUGGAGCUAGCCUUUCCCUUUCUCCCCCAUCCCUCCCACAGGAACCUGCUGGAAGCUGUUCUGAACCAGAGAAGGAUGAAAAUAGCUGCCAAAGAUGUUGCCAUAGCAACUGCUUUCCUUCCUGACCUCCUUGGAGGUGAACUCCCUCAUUUUCCAGAGUAGUCAAGGAAUUUCUGUGCCUCUACCCAUGGCUUUGGUUACCAACU